GAUGAACGCUGGCGGCGUGCCUAAUACAUGCAAGUCGAGCGAACGGACGAGAAGCUUGCUUCUCUGAUGUUAGCGGCGGACGGGUGAGUAACACGUGGAUAGCCUACCUAUAAGACUGGGAUAACUUCGGGAAACCGGAGCUAAUACCGGAUAAUAUUUUGAACCGCAUGGUUCAAAAGUGAAAGACGGUCUUGCUGUCACUUAUAGAUGGAUCCGCGCUGCAUUAGCUAGUUGGUAAGGUAACGGCUUACCAAGGCAACGAUGCAUAGCCGACCUGAGAGGGUGAUCGGCCACACUGGAACUGAGACACGGUCCAGACUCCUACGGGAGGCGGCAGUAGGGAAUCUUCCGCAAUGGGCGAAAGCCUGACGGAGCAACGCCGCGUGAGUGAUGAAGGUCUUCGGAUCGUAAAACUCUGUUAUUAGGGAAGAACAUAUGUGUAAGUAACUGUGCACAUCUUGACGGUACCUAAUCAGAAAGCCACGGCUAACUACGUG
rnacentral:rRNA from 1 species